GUGGAUAUCAUGUCAUAAUACUAUCUCUUUUAUUGGAACAAUGAUCCAUGCGCUGAUCGUAUAUUCCUCACGAUCACGAAUGAACAGUUCAGUGUGAUUGAUGACAUCACACAUGGCUGACAUCAGCUCAUGAAGACCAAAAAAUGUGGCUGAAAGCUUCAGCAGAACAAAGUUGUACUCCCAUUCAGAUGUGUAAACAGACAGCUGUGGACACCACUGAUGCUGCUUGGAAUCCGCUUGGCUAAGUGCAUGUGCCCUUGUUGCGAAGGGGCAUAGACAUCUGCACAGAGCCACGCUUACAUACGAAAUUUACUUGGACCCUUGCAUUCUUGCAGAUUCGAGCAGCAAACCACCUGAGGACUUUGCGUACGUCGACAGCAUUCAAGUUUGAAUUCACAGAAAAGAUUUUCAAACUGCCAAUUCAACAUUUGAAGGUUUUAUACGACACAACUUAUCAGAUUUUUUUCUUCUUCAGCAGACAACAUUUUUCAGUGCUGGGUGCUGUCAUAAAGAUCAGCUAAGUGAAAGACUUCACCACACGGUACCAUAACAGUGACGUACAUACACCCACACGACCCAAAACCUUUUUGUCGAGUACAAUCCAGGCCAAACGUGCUGGUUUCCUCCACAGCGAUCAGUAGUUUUUCAUACAGCAUGGUGUACGAGGGGUAUGGUGGCAGGUCCAGGCGGUUAAAACAGAAGCGCCGCAGGCCGUUGGACCCCCGCAGGGCGGCGAAGCCUUCGUAGGGCACACUGGACGUGCCCGUGACGAACUGCAGCAGGCGCAGGCGCUGCUCAUUGUUGAAGCGCUCGACGGCCGCCCAGAACCAGCGCAUCAC